GUUAGGUUUGGGGUGGUGGCUCGGUGCAGCGGUCUGCGUGGGUAGGGCUGCGGGGCCUUGCUGACAAAGGCGGCUGUGGAAUCGGUUUUCCGCCUGCUUGGGGUACGCCCGUCGGGUUUAUUGUUUCCAGGCUGUGUUUCCGACGUUUAGGAUUGGGUGGCUAUGUGCCUCCACGUGAGUUGCUCCUGAUGUCGCUUAUGUGUG